CAAAAACCUGUGACAGUAAACCUCAGCCCAUAGCCCGUAAAAGUGUAGGAAAUUCCCCCAGAAGGUGGAAACCUUAUUGAAGUACAGGUUCAGCAACUGGACCGUUUGCACAGGGCGUCUGGCUUUCCAGGAAUCAGAGACUGAGAGGCCAGAGGAAUAAAAGAUCUUGGAGGAGUGCAGAGAAAAACAAGAAAAAAUGCCAUCAAAUUCUCCGUAAUAUCUCCCUAGAAAGAAGAUAUUUAUGCAAGUGGAUACAAGUCUGCCUACAUUGGCAGCAUAAAGACCUUUAAACUCCUUAGAUCAAAAUAAGAUCACAAUGAAUAUUGACUCAACUUGCACCUGACUUGUUUAAUACUAGCUCCUCAUCAGGGAAAACUAGUCUAUUUUGCCUUUGACUUCAUAGCCAUUGUUUGACAAUUCAGAGGGAAUCAUGAAGGAGGGCACCCAAGGGAGAUAGUAUUGUUAAGAAGAACAAGUUGCCCCAAAACAGAGAGUACAGGCACAUCUUUGCUCUGAGACUGAGGAAUUCCACCAGCAUUCAACCACG
ensembl:lncRNA